rnacentral:rRNA from 1 species
CAGGAUGAACGCUGGCGGCGUGCCUAACACGAUGCAAGUCGAACGGGUCUCUUAGUCUCGGAAGCUUCGGCCGAAGAGGUUGAGAUUAGUGGCGGACGGGUGAGUAACGCGUGGAGAACCUGCCCUGUACUGGGGGAUAACAGGUGAAGAAAUCACUGCGUAAUACCGCAUAAGCGCACGAAGCCGCAUGGCUUCGUGUGAAAAAACUCCGGUGGUACAGGGAUGGCUCCGCGUUGGACUUAGCCAGUUGGCGGGGUAACGGCCCACCAAAGCGACGAUCCAUAGCCGGCCUGAGAGGGUGAACGGCCACAUUGGGACUGAGACACGGCCCAGACUCCUACGGGAGGCAGCAGUGGGGAAUAUUGCACAAUGGGGGAAACCCUGAUGCUAAGCGACGCCGCGUGAAGGAUGAAGUAUCUCGGUAUGUAAACUUCUAUCAGCAGGGAAGAUGAUGACGGUACCUGACUAAGAAGCCCCGGCUAACUACGUGCCAGCCGCCGC